GUCUAUGGCCAUACCACCCUGAACAUACCCGAUCUUAUCUGAUCUCAGAAGCUAAGCAGGGUCGGGCCUGGUUAGUACUUAGAUAGGAUAAAAUACAGUCAUUUACU
rfam:Heterocephalus glaber contig162741, whole genome shotgun sequence.